AGCACUUUUUCGUGCGGCUGUUGAUAAAAACAGGAUCGCCAACAUGAUCGCCAAUGUCCGAUAACGGAUAUGGCACAAGAAGAAGAACCCUUUCAGACUGACUGCAACUCACAUUUGAUAUGAAGAACAUCUCUCUCUCUCUCUUUCUCUCUGUUUCUGUCUCUCUCUUAUUUAUCUUCCAAGUUCCUUCUCCUUUCACGAGGCCAACAAUGCCUGUUUCUUUCAGAAAUCACCUUCAACCCUGGGAUCCUUCCUUCAACCAAACUGCUUUCUUACACCUACAGUACUUUAAAACACAUGGUGGCAACCUUGAAAUAACUUUGGUUAUUUGGUUUGCCUUCCUUUUACCACCAAAUUUACAUAUUAGAAGUCCAUUUCUUUGUGAAGGGAACAAGCGGUAUAGCUAAGUUUCUUUCAUAGCAAAGUUGGCAAGGAACCUCUGAAGGUGAUUAUACCAGCUUUGAAAUCCCCCAAACAUAUAUUUGUUUUUUUUUACUAUUUUCAUUAUUCAUCUGGAAAAAUGAUGUUGUGGUCUGUCCUACUCCUCAUCAUCUCAGUUUUAAGAGGAAGCACAGGACAGUCAGUGAACCAAACAUCUGGCAUUCUGACUGUUACUGAAGAACAACCUGUUUCUCUCAAUUGUUCCUAUGAAGGACAGUUUAGUAUAAAUUACCCAUUCUGGUACAUUCAGCAUCCUGGUCAGCCUCUGGAGAUCUUGUUGACCAAAUUUGACAACAAGAACCAAGAUUUCCAAGCUAUUCACAAUGAAAACAAGAAUAAAGGGACUUUCAACAUGCGGAAACCAGCCAUCCAGCUGCAGGACUCUGCUGUCUAUUUCUGUGCCUUCAAAGAGACACAGUGAGAGGAAGCAGAAAAGGAACCAGUCAAAAACUGGAGAAAAAGUAUUAAGAGCAGAGACAGGGAGAUAUUGCAAUUGUCAAUUGAUCCACUUAACAACAGUGACUCUUUCAGUUUCAUGUUUCAUAUUAGGUAGUUCUCUCUUCCACUCUCCCUCUCAUAUCCUCCCAGUUUCCUCUCCAUUCACCUGGACAAUAAUAUAUUUUUCUUUCAGAAAUCACUUUCAACCCUGGGAUCCUUCCUUCAACCAAACUUCUUUCUUACUGCUCCUUUAAAACACAUGGUGGCAAUCUUGAGGCAACAUGAGUCUUACCAAGUGCCACAUAUGAAAUCCUGUAUAGCACAUAUGCUCUGUGAAACAUAUCCUGUGGUUUGUCUUUUUUUUUUUUGCCACCAAAUUAACAUAUUAGA